GACGAACGCUGGCGGCGUGCUUAACACAUGCAAGUCGAACGGAAAGGCCCCUUUGGGGGUACUCGAGUGGCGAACGGGUGAGUAACACGUGAGUAACCUGCCCUUGACUUCGGGAUAACUUCAGGAAACUGGGGCUAAUACCGGAUAGGAAUCCUUCCUGCUUGGUGGGGGUUGGAAAGCUCCGGCGGUUUUGGAUGGAGUCACGGCUCAUCAGCUUGUUGGUGGGGUAGUGGCUUACCAAGGCUUUGACGGGUAGCCGGCCUGAGAGGGCGACCGGCCACAUUGGGACUGAGAGACGGCCCAGACUCCUACGGGAGGCAGAAGUGGGGAAUAUUGCACAAUGGGCGGAAGCCUGAUGCAGCAACGCCGCGUGCGGGAUGACGGCCUUCGGGUUGUAAACCGCUUUCAGCAGGGGCGAAGCUUGUGGUGACGGUACCUGCAGAAGAAGCACCGGCUAACUACGUG
rnacentral:rRNA from 1 species